rnacentral:misc_RNA from 1 species
GCAUGAUUGUUUUUUCGAAAAGUUUGAAUACGAUAGGGUGUGGUUAUGAUAAAUAAGCAUAUUUUUACUAUAUAUCACAUGAAAAAAUAAUCAUGAUGCGUGCAUAUAUUCUACCACUUUUUGGAAUGCAUAAACAUUUAAAAGUAUCAAGUAGGUUCAAGAUAGAAAAUAAAACCAAUUAAAGAGCAAAGACAUCAACAACCUAAUUUCUGGCUAAUUUUUAUAGCAUGUCCCAGAACUUUGCCCCGUGUCACUUUCAUCCGUUUACUUCAGUUUGUUACUAAAAAUCCUUGAACUUUAAUUUUGUUUCACAAAAAU